rnacentral:tRNA from 1 species
GCUCUAGUAGCUCAGUGUUAGAGCG